rnacentral:rRNA from 1 species
CUACUACCGAUUGAAUGGCUCAGUGAGGCCUUCGGACUGGCUCAGGGAGGUCGGCAACGACCACCCAGAGCCGGAAAGUUGGUCAAACUCGGUCAUUUAGAGGAAGUAAAAGUCGUAACAAGGUUUCCGUAGGUGAACCUGCGGAAGGAUCAUUA